CCCUUCGAAUUGGCUACUAUGAAUCAGAUGGUUACAUCCAGCCAUCCCCUAGCACGGCCAGGGCUGUGCAGCUCACCUUCUGGCUGCUCCAGGAUGCAUGACACCAGGUAGUCUCACCUGGUCCUGGGUGAGAGAGAGGCCAGGCCAGUGUGAGGAUGCUGGGGGGGCCAUCCUUGGAGACAAAGGUUAUCCCCUUCUCCAUCCCCCAGGCAGAGCAUGCCAUCAAAGACUUGUACACAGCGGGGAUAUUUACUGAUGGAGGGGCCACUCUGCUAGAGAAGCUAGAGGGGGACAUUGUGGAUCUCAGCAUAAAGGGCAUGGUCAACCAGCUCUGCCUGCCAGACCCCGUCAAGUGUUUCUUGGACUGGAUCCCAAAGUACAUACCCCCUUCUAGGAUCCCCAAACUAGCUAGCAUCUUGAAGAGAUUCGUGGAGUGGGGACACCCAAGAAACUGUGGGAGCAGCACACAGCAGUGGAGGAAUAUCAGCAAGAGUUCAUAGCCAAGUGGAGGUCCCUGGACCUGGAUGUGCUGCUGGUGCCAGUUCUGGGCUCUGCCUUCUAUAUAGGCUCUUCCUCCCUAGCAUCAGAAAGCCAGUCUUACGUGACUCUGUACAACCUCCUGGCCUUUCCCGCGGGCGUGGUGCCUGUCACUAUCGUGACACUACAGGACGAGGAGGAACUGGCCUUCUACAAGGGCUGCUACGGAGAUAGUUCUGACAAAAAUUUCUCGGAGGCGGUAAGAGAAUCCGUCGGACUUCUGGUGACUGUGCAGUGCAUUGCUUUGCCAUGGGAAGAGGAGCUGUGUCUCCGGUUCAUGAAGGAGGUGGACACCUUGGUCAAGAAUCAGAGGGGGCCCAAGUGACAGGCUCCUGGAAUGGAGUAACAGCUCACGAAACAUGGGGCUGGUUGUGGUGGCUCAUACCUGUAAUCCCAGCAGUUCAGGAGGCAGAGGCUGGCAGAUCGCUUGAGGCCACGAGUUUGAGACCAACCUGGGCAACAUAGCGAGACCCUGUUUCUAAAGCAUUUUCUUGGUGUGACUCCUGUAGAUCCUCACCCAAGUGUGCUCCUGAUGCCCCUUCCUUCUCAUGAAUACCAUGUCCACCUUAUGUCUCCUCCUUCUGGAACCCCACCAGGUUCCUUUUCUUUGUUGGCCCCUCUGCAUGGGUGCUCAAUAUUCCUCAGAUGGGCCCGGGAUGCGGAGCAGGGUGAGGAGCUCAAUAAACUUUUCUGACUGGCCCCAGCCUCCUGAUCUCUGGUCUGGGUGAGGCUGUAAUCUCCUGGUGGUCUUCAGCCUCUAGCUGCUUUCCUCCAAUUCAGUCCCCCUGAUGCUACCCCAGACUGCAGUAGGGAAAGAGCCCCAAACAGAGAGGCUGGAGAUCUGGGUCCAAGUCCUGACUCUGUCCCUGACUUGCUGUGUGAUGCUGGGAAGUCCCUUCAUCUCUCUGGACCUGAGUUUUCUCAUCUGAGUUUCAGAUUGAGGGGGUUAGAUUUGAUAAGGUCCUAUGGUAUCUACCGGCUUGACCAUUCUGUGAGCUGUGAUUUCUAGGCACUGUCCUGAUUAAGAACUUGCCAUGAUUCCCACUGACGUCUGGAGAGGGCUCCAGAGAGCAGGGCUGAGACAGUGGAACCCAGUCAGAGUGGAGCUUGGGUUAGGACCUAGACCCCUGGCUCACAGAUCAGUGCUUUUGCCACAAAACACCAAUUCCUUGGUCUGACAUCAGCAUGUCUCCAGGAUCCUCCAUAGCCCCCUCUCCCAUGGCUCCACCACAGCACUGCCUCCUUCCGUUCCCUCAAACCGGAGCCUUCUCACCAGCACAAGCCCACCUUAUGCUUCUGGCUCCAUGUCACUAUGCAGACUGUUCCCUCCACCUGAACACCAUUGCUGUCCUCUGUGUCCUUCAAACCCUGUGUCAAAUACCACUUCCUCCAGAAAGCCUUUCUUGAUCCCUCCAACAUACCCCCCCCCAUUAUUUUCCCUUCAUCUGAACUCUCUUGAGAUCCUCCUCCCAUCAAAUCUCUCCCUUCCGCCAUCCCAUUCCUCUUUGUAGCCCUACUUCCACCAACUAUGCAAAUUAAUGAACUCACUUUUCCCUGUACUUGAUAGCACAGAUCUUCUGAAGACAAUGCAAAGGAAUGGAAUUCAUCCAUCCACGCUACAUUAUUUGAGUACCCCCUCUGAACACAAAUGUGAAAUUCAGGCAGAAAAAUCCUGACUUAAAAGAAUUUAACUCAGAUGAAGACCCCAGGAAUUGCACAGCAGAGGGGGCAGCCCUGCCUCUGCCUCCCAUAAGAAGGAACCACUCGGGGUGUCCAGGUGCAGGAUGGACAGGGCUAUUGCUGACGUCACGUGUCCCCCCACACCAAUUCUACCACAGAGUCUGAGAUCUCUGCAGGAGAGGGAGCCUCAGAGUUUCCCCUCAGACUAGGUUAGUAGGGCUGGUGCCCUGUGUUCCCUGCCCCGUACGAGGGAGGUCUGAGUAGCUUGGAAAAGGUGAGAGAUCUCAGGUGUCUCCUGCCUCUUGUUCCUGCAUCCCAUUGCUGGCUGCGGCAUUCUGGGCACCAGGGGGCAGCAUUGAGCUUCACAAGCCCCGGACAGCUCUUGCCCUCUGCUCUCAGACCCACUGUCGCUGCGACUUCUCGAGUGAGAUCCUUUGCUCGAACUCCAUUGCGCUGAUGGGGAAACUAGCGAGUGGAGGGACAGAGAUAGAGGGAUGCAGGAAUUAGCAGGCACUUUGGCUUUAGGUUAAAUAUUUGCAGAUUUUAAGAUGUAGGAGGUAGAAUUCUAUUUUGGCUGGAAUUAGCCUGGGGAAAAGGGGUGGCAGAUACCAGCUGGAAGGACUGAAUAAAUGGGAAGCCCUAUGCUAGGCGCAGACUUCUU